rnacentral:rRNA from 1 species
UCUCCGUCUUGCUCGAAGAUGAAGUCGGAGCUCGGAUGGGAGUGCCAAGUGGGCCAAUUUUGGUAAGCAGAACUGGCGCUGUGGGAUGAACCAAACGUCGAGUUAAGGCGCCCAACGGACGCUCAUCGGAGACCAUAAAAGGCGUUGGUCGCUCAUGACAGCAGGACGGUGGCCAUGGAAGUCGGAAUCCGCUAAGGAGUGUGUAACAACUCACCUGCCGAAGCAACCAGCCCUGAAAAUGGAUGGCGCUGUAGCGUCCGGCCUAUACUCGACCGUCGCAGGCAAGGGGGGCGCCGCCCGCCCCGCGCGGGCGCGCCUUGAGGCCGCGACGAGUAGGAUGGCCGCGGCGGUGUGCGCAGAAGGGUCUGGGCGCGAGCCCGCCUGGAGCCUCCGUCGGCGCAGAUCUUGGUGGUAGUAGCAAAUACUCAAGCGAGGUCCUUGAGGGCUGAUGUGGAGAAGGGUUUCGCAUUAACAGCCGUUGCAUGCGAGUUAGUCGAUCCUAAGCCCUAGGAGAGAUCCGAUGUCGAUGAUGGUGUAAAGUUAUGUAUGUAUAUGUACUACACCCGUCGGGCGAAAGGGAAUCCGGUUGCAGUUCCGGAACCCGGCCGCGGAACCGUCUUAAAAAUCGUUCCCUCGAAAGAGAGUUCGUCGGGGUGACCCAAAGUGGCCUGAAGACGCCGACGGGAGAUCCGGAGAGAGUUAUCUUUUCUGCCUGAGCGUUCGAGCGCCCUGGAAUCCUAUAGCGGGGAGAUAGGGCUCGGGGCGCGAAGAGCAUCGCCGAUGCGGCGGUGUCCGGAUCGGCCCCUCGGACCUUGAAAAUUCAGGUGAGGGAUACGCGGAGAUGUCGCGCCGGCUCGUACCCAUAUCCGCAGCAGGUCUCCAAGGUGAAGAGCCUCUAGCCGAUAGAAUAAUGUAGGUAAGGGAAGUCGGCAAGUUGGAUCCGUAACUUCGGGAUAAGGAUUGGCUCUGAGGGCUGUGGCGUUCACGCCCGCGUUAGCGGCGCGAGCGGUCGGCCGGCGCGCCGGUACGUCGCGGUCGCGUCGCCGCACGGGGUGUGGAUCUCCGUCACCCGGCGCCUCGCCUUGGCCUCCCCCUNGGGAUCUUCCUCGCUGUGUGGUGCCCGGCGUGUUCGCGCACGCUCGGUCACCUGUACGGCCGCCGGACGACGGUCAACUCAGAACUGGCACGGACAAGGGGAAUCCGACUGUNUAAUUAAAACAAAGCAUUGCGAUGGCCCUCGCGGGUGUUGACGCAAUGUGAUUUCUGCCCAGUGCUCUGAAUGUCAAUGUGAAGAAAUUCAAUUAAGCGCGGGUAAACGGCGGGAGUAACUAUGACUCUCUUAAGGUAGCCAAAUGCCUCGUCAUCUAAUUAGUGACGCGCAUGAAUGGAUUAACGAGAUUCCCAUCUGUCCCUAUCUACUAUCUAGCGAAACCACUGCCAAGGGAACGGGCUUGGGAGAAUCAGCGGGGAAAGAAGACCCUGUUGAGCUUGACUCUAGUCUGGUAUUGUAAGGUGACAUGAGGGGUGCAGAAUAAGUGGGAGGCGGGAGCAAUUCCUCCAAACGUGAAAUACCACUACUUUCAUCGUUUCGUUACUUACUCAGUUGGGCGGAGGGCGUGCGCCGGCGUUAAUGCCGCGCGUCACGGGUUUUUCGCGCCAAACGUGUACGGGGCGGCGAGCCGCGGCGGUCUCGGGCGGUGCGCGUGCGCAAGUGCGCCGCCGUUCGUUCCGUCGCGUCGCCGCAUUUCCCCGCGUGAUCCGUUCUGAGGACACUGCCAGGCGGGGAGUUUGACUGGGGCGGUACAUCUGUCAAAGAAUAACGCAGGUGUCCUAAGACCAGCUCAGCGAGGCCGGAAAUCUCGCGUCGAGCAAAAGGGCAAAAGCUGGUUUGAUCACGAUGUUCAGUAUGCAUAGAGACUGCGAAAGCACGGCCUAUCNNNNNNNNNNNNNNNNNNNNNNNNNNNNNNNNNNNNNNNNNNNNNNNNNNNNNNNNNNNNNNNNNNNNNNNNNNNNNNNNNNNNNNNNNNNNNNNNNNNNAUGUCGGCUCUUCCUAUCAUUACGAAGCAGAAUUCGNCAAGCGUUGGAUUGUUCACCCAUCAAAANGGAACGCUNGGUUUAGACCGUCGUGAGACAGGUUAGUUUUACCCUACUGAUGA